rnacentral:tRNA from 1 species
GGGGUUGUGACUCAAGUGGCAGAGCACUCGCCUAGCACACAUGAGGCACUGAGUUCAAUCCUCAGCACCUCA